UUAUUAUUAUUUAUUAAUAUUCCCCAAUUUAAAGGAUUGUCUGCUGACUCAGGUGGAGGGAGACAAGCGGUUAUGCUGCUAACAUUCUGGAUUCGCCCAAAGGACUGGAUAAGCUGUAAAACCAAAUUCUCUUGACCUAGUGCUA